ACAGAGGGUGCAAGCGUUGCUCGGAAUCAUUGGGCGUAAAGGGCAGGUAGAUGGUCUCGUUUGUCUGGGGUGAAAGCCUUGAGCUUAACUCAAGAAGUGCCCCGGAAACGGCGAGACUGGAGUCUUGGAGAGGGUCGUGGAAUUCCCGGUGUAGCGGUGAAAUGCGUAGAGAUCGGGAGGAACAUCCGUGGCGAAGGCGGCCAUCUGGAUCAACACUGACGUUGAGGCACGAAAGCUAGGGGAGCAAACAGGA
rnacentral:rRNA from 1 species